UGGGGAAUAUUGGGCAAUGGACGCAAGUCUGACCCAGCAACGCCGCGUGAAGGAAGAAGGCUUUCGGGUUGUAAACUUCUUUUAAGGGGGAAGAGCAGAAGACGGUACCCCUUGAAUAAGCCACGGCUAACUACGUGCCAGCAGCCGCGGUAAUACGUAGGUGGCAAGCGUUGUCCGGAUUUACUGGGUGUAAAGGGCGUGCAGCCGGGAAGACAAGUCAGAUGUGAAAUCCCGCGGCUCAACCGCGGAACUGCAUUUGAAACUGUUUUUCUUGAGUAUCGGAGAGGUAACCGGAAUUCCUAG
rnacentral:rRNA from 1 species